ACAGGGAUUGCCCCAGUAACGGCGAGUGAAGCGGCAACAGCUCAAAUUUGAAAUCUGGCUCUCGGGCCCGAGUUGUAAUUUGUAGAGGAUGCUUUUGGUGAGGUGCCUUCCGAGUUCCCUGGAACGGGACGCCAUAGAGGGUGAGAGCCCCGUCUGGUUGGACGCCGAACCUCUGUAAAGCUCCUUCGACGAGUCGAGUAGUUUGGGAAUGCUGCUCUAAAUGGGAGGUAUAUGUCUUCUAAAGCUAAAUACCGGCCAGAGACCGAUAGCGCACAAGUAGAGUGAUCGAAAGAUGAAAAGAACUUUGAAAAGAGAGUUAAACAGUACGUGAAAUUGUUGAAAGGGAAGCGCUUGUGACCAGACUUGGGCUUGGUUGAUCAUCCGGGGUUCUCCCCGGUGCACUCUUCCGGCCCAGGCCAGCAUCAGUUCGCCCUGGGGGACAAAGGCUUCGGGAACGUGGCUCUCUCCGGGGAGUGUUAUAGCCCGUUGCGUAAUACCCUGUGGCGGACUGAGGUUCGCGCAUUCGCAAGGAUGCUGGCGUAAUGGUCAUCAGUGACCCGUCUUGAAACACGGACCAAGGAGUCGUCUUCGUAUGCGAGUGUUCGGGUGUCAAACCCCUACGCGAAAUGAAAGUGAACGCAGGUGAGAGCUUCGGCGCAUCAUCGACCGAUCCUGAUGUUAUCGGAUGGAUUUGAGUAAGAGCAUACGGGGCCGGACCCGAAAGAAGGUGAACUAUGCCUGUGUAGGGUGAAGCCAGAGGAAACUCUGGUGGAGGCUCGCAGCGGUUCUGACGUGCAAAUCGAUCGUCAAACAUGGGCAUGGGGGCGAAAGACUAAUCGAAC
rnacentral:rRNA from 1 species